rnacentral:rRNA from 1 species
GAUGAACGCUAGCUACAGGCUUAACACAUGCAAGUCGAGGGACCGGCGCACGGGUGAGUAACACGUAUCCAACCUGCCCUUUACUCGGGGAUAGCCUUUCGAAAGAAAGAUUAAUACCCGAUGUAAAGGAUGGGGAUGCGUUCCAUUAGGUUGUUGGUGAGGUAACGGCUCACCAAGCCUUCGAUGGAUAGGGGUUCUGAGAGGAAGGUCCCCAACAUUGUAAGUGAGACACGGUCCAAACUCCUACGGGAGGGAGCAGUGAGGAAUAGUGGUCAAUGGGCGGUAGCCGGAACCAGACAAGUAGCGUGAAGGAUGAGGGCUGAUGGGUCGUAAACUUCUUUUAUAUAAGAAUAUGUAUUAUAUGAAUAAGGAUCGGCUAACUCCGUGCCAGCAGCCGAGGUAAUUC